rnacentral:rRNA from 1 species
AUCCUACGGGAGGCAGCAGUGAGGAAAUUGGUCAAUGGACGUAAGUCUGAACCAGCCAUCCCGCGUGCAGGAAGAAGGCGCUAUGCGUCGUAAACUGCUUUUCCAGGGGAAGAAAACCCGCUACGUGUAGCGGCUUGCCGGUACCCUGGGAAUAAGCAUCGGCUAACUCCGUGCCAGCAGCCGCGGUAAUACGGAGGAUGCGAGCGUUAUCCGGAUUUAUUGGGUUUAAAGGGUGCGUAGGCGGAUUAAUAAGUCAGUGGUGAAAACCUUCAGCUUAACUGGAGACUUGCCAUUGAUACUGUUAGUCUUGAGUACGGUCAAGGUAGGCGGAAUGUGUAAUGUAGCGGUGAAAUGCUUAGAUAUUACACAGAACACCGAUUGCGAAGGCAGCUUACUGGGCCAUUACUGACGCUGAGGCACGAAAGCGUGGGGAGCGAACAGGAUUAGAUACCCUGGUAGUCCACGCCGUAAACGAUGAUCACUCGCUGUUGGCGAUACACAGUCAGCGGCUAAGCAAAAGCAUUAAGUGAUCCACCUGGGGAGUACGGCCGCAAGGCUGAAACUCAAAGGAAUUGACGGGGGCCCGCACAAGCGGAGGAACAUGUGGUUUAAUUCGAUGAUACGCGAGGAACCUUACCUGGGCUUAAAUGUAGAGUGCAUGGGGUAGAAAUAUCCUUUCCUCGGGACUCUUACAAGGUGCUGCAUGUGUCGUCAGCUCGUGCCGUGAGGUGUCGGGUUAAGUCCCAUAACGAGCGCAACUAUCGUUAGUUGCCAGCGGGUAAUGCCGGGAACUCUAGCGAAACUGCCGGUGUAAACCGUGAGGAAGGUGGGGAUGACGUCAAAUCAGCACGGCCCUUAUGUCCAGGGCUACACACGUGUUACAAUGGCCGGUACAGAGGGCAGCUACCUGGAGACAGGAUGCGAAUCUCCAAAGCCGGUCUCAGUUCGGAUCGGAGUCUGCAACCCGACUCCGUGAAGCUGGAUUCGCUAGUAAUCGCGCAUCAGCCAUGGCGCGGUGAAUACGUUCCCGGGCCUUGUACACACCGCC